rnacentral:rRNA from 1 species
AUUGAACGCUGGCGGCAGGCUUAACACAUGCAAGUCGAGCGGGGUGAUGGUGCUUGCACUAUCACUUAGCGGCGGACGGGUGAGUAAUGCUUAGGAAUCUGCCUAUUAGUGGGGGACAACAUCUCGAAAGGGAUGCUAAUACCGCAUACGUCCUACGGGAGAAAGCAGGGGAUCACUUGUGACCUUGCGCUAAUAGAUGAGCCUAAGUCGGAUUAGCUAGUUGGUGGGGUAAAGGCCUACCAAGGCGACGAUCUGUAGCGGGUCUGAGAGGAUGAUCCGCCACACUGGGACGGAGACACGGCCCAGACUCCUACGGGAGGCAGCAGUGGGGAAGAUUGGACAAUGGGGGGAACCCUGAUCCAGCCAUGCCGCGUGUGUGAAGAAGGCCUUAUGGUUGUAAAGCACGUUAAGCGAGGAGGAGGCUCUUUUGGUUAAUACCCAAGAUGAGUGGACGUUACUCGCAGAAUAAGCACCGGCUAACUCUGUGCCAGCAGCCGCAGUAA